ACACAACAUUUACGCAGAAAAUUAAUAUCUCCUAGUUUCACUUAAUGUUUCACAUUAUCAUCAAAAACAUAAGUUUAGUCUCAAACUUUUCAUUUCCCUCAAAAUUUCAUCUUUAAUGUUAAAAUCCGGAAACAAACAAAUGAUAUUUUCCCCUCAGAGUUGUAAAUAUCGGCCCCACCUCCGAGCUCGCUUUAGCUCCGCCCUCCUGCUUCAGUAGACGUAACCCCGCCCCUGUGUUUAUUUUGACGUAGCUCCGCCCCUGGCUGUCCGCGUGCUGCUGCUGUCUAUUUCUGUAACGAGAAGAGGCUGAGACCAGCGGUUACCUGCUCACCUGUUGAAUUAACCGGAUAUUUAAACCUCGUCCACCACUUCCGGCCCAUCGGUGGUCAAACGGGUUCAUUAUGGAGGAGCUUCAUGACGUCCAGCUGACUGAGAUCAAACCCCUGCUGACGGGGCAGAAUGGGAGUAAUCUGCAGGACUUUGACUGUCAGAAUGAGUGUGUCUGUGGGU